GCCCUUAUUUGGGUGAACCAGUAUAAAUUCUCUUGUGUUGUUCUUUGUUAACUUUAGUUUUUAUUUUUCAUCUAAAAACAACUAAACAACACUUAAUUGAAAAAGAUCCCUCUUCCAGUUAUCUGGUCAAAUACAGAGGUUGACUACUUUACGCAGAUCCCUCAUCCAGUUAUCUGGUCAACUAUCUGAGGUUAUAUUCAUUGUUUUAAAAUCUUUACUCAGAUAUUUGUUCAAGCAUUUACUUAUCAAAUAUAUAUCCAGUUAUCUGGUCAUUUACUCUAUAUCUUGCUUAUCAAAUAUAUAUCCAGUUAUCUGGUCAUUUACUUUAUAAUAUAAUUUGUGUUUAUAAUAUAACUUAGUAUUUAUAUACUAUAGUUGUUUAUAAAACACCAUCUGAAAAAUUGACUAUGUACUCAUAUACGGUAGUAAACUUCA
rnacentral:lncRNA from 1 species